UGGGGAAUAUUGGACAAUGGGCGCAAGCCUGAUCCAGCAAUGCCGCGUGUGUGAAGAAGGCCUUCGGGUUGUAAAGCACUUUUAUCAGGAGCGAAACGCUGUCGGCUAAUACCCGGCGGAACUGACGGUACCUGAGGAAUAGGCACCGGCUAACUUCGUGCCAGCAGCCGCGGUAAUACGAAGGGUGCAAGCGUUAAUCGGAAUUACUGGGCGUAAAGCGUGCGUAGGCGGUUUCUUAAGUCUGCUGUGAAAUCCCCGGGCUCAACCUGGGAAUGGCAGUGGAUACUGGGAGGCUAGAGUGUGUCAGAGGGUGGUGGAAUUCCCGGUGUAGCGGUGAAAUGCGUAGAGAUCGGGAGGAACAUCAGUGGCGAAGGCGGCCACCUGGGGACAACACUGACGCUGAGGCACGAAAAGCGUGGGGGAGCAAACAGGAUUAGGAUACCCUGGUAGUCCACGCCCUAAACGAUGCGAACUGGAUGUUGGUCUCAACUCGGAGAUCAGUGUCGAAGCUAACGCGUUAAGUUCGCCGCCUGGGGAGUACGGUCGCAAGACUGAAACUCAAAGGAA
rnacentral:rRNA from 1 species